GUAUCUUGAAUGAAAAUAUCGACAAGUAUACACAUGCUGUCUACAUGCGUUUCCAGAGAAAAGAAGACAUGGGGAAGUUUUACGAGAACCCUUUCUACUUGCGAGUACUCAAUGAGCAUGUAUUGCCUUACUGCCAUGUAUGCCCUGACAUGGAUUGACUAAUGUGGAUUACGAAUCUGAAGUAGAAGAUGAUAUCAUACCUAUAUUCUGAAAA